AUACGGGGUUAUUAGAACUCCACUAACCUGGGGAGGUUAGGCAUCCAAAUGGGUAGCAGCGGCACCCUUCUGGAGAGACGGUCCAGAGGCCGGGUUGUCAGACCCGGUCGGGAGCCGUUUC
rnacentral:sRNA from 12 species